GAAUAGUUUUAGUCGGUAGGCGCCUGACGGAGUUGUGGGCUAGCCCUCCUCCAACAGGCGAAUCCGACACUACCCGGUGGGUCGCUCCCCCGGGUGUCUUUAGAAGAUUUCCACUUC
rfam:Trachymyrmex zeteki contig8660, whole genome shotgun sequence.